GUCCGCACUGUAAAACGAUGAUUACUCGUUGCUGGGAAGCAAUUUCCAGUGACCAAGCGAAAGCGAUAAGUAAUCCACCUGGGGAGUACGCCGGCAACGGUGAAACUCAAAGGAAUUGACGGGGGCCCGCACAAGCGGAGGAGCAUGUGGUUUAAUUCGAUGAUACGCGAGGAACCUUACCAGGGCUUGAAAGUUAGGGAAUAAUCCUGAAAGGGAUUAGUCAGCAAUGACCCGAAACUAGGUGCUGCAUGGCUGUCGU
rnacentral:rRNA from 1 species